rnacentral:lncRNA from 1 species
GGGUCCGUUUGGCCCGACUUUUUUUCUACUUUACUACUUCUUUUAAGUGGAAGUAGGGCCAAACAUAAUUUUAAUUAAGUUCUUAAAAUAAAAAGUGUCUUUUUUGUAGUGUUGAAAAUACAAUAUAAGUGACUUAAAAAAAAAGAAGAUAAAACCAACUUUAAACUAACUUAUACGGAGGUUUCACUCUCCAAGUCUGCUCAUCGAUUCCCGUGUGUGCC